rnacentral:rRNA from 1 species
GACGAACGUUGGCGGCGUGCUUAACACAUGCAAGUCGAACGGUAAGGCUCCAGCUUGCUGGGGUACACGAGUGGCGAACGGGUGAGUAACACGUGGGUGACCUGCCCUGCACUUCGGGAUAAGCCUGGGAAACUGGGUCUAAUACCGGAUAGGACCAUGGUGUGGAUACUGUGGUGGAAAGUUUUUUCGGUGUGGGAUGGGCCCGCGGCCUAUCAGCUUGUUGGCGGGGUAAUGGCCUACCAAGGCGGCGACGGGUAGCCGGCCUGAGAGGGUGGACGGCCACAUUGGGACUGAGACACGGCCCAGACUCCUACGGGAGGCAGCAGUGGGGAAUAUUGCACAAUGGGCGGAAGCCUGAUGCAGCGACGCCGCGUGGGGGAUGACGGCCUUCGGGUUGUAAACUCCUUUCACCAUCGACGAAGGGUUUCUGACGGUAGAUGGAGAAGAAGCACCGGCUAACUACGUG